AAAAAAACAAACCCUGGGUUUCCAUGUCCAACGUUUGACUGCCCGUCUUAUAUGAAAUUUUUUUAUAAUUAGUAUUUUCAUUGUUGUUAGAUGAUAAAAUAUGAUUAAUACUUUAUGCGUGACUUGUCUUUUUAAUUUUUUUAUAAUUUUUUUAAAUAAGACGGACGGUCAAAACGUUAGAUACGGAAAUUUAGGGUUUGUCUUUUU
rfam:Oryza rufipogon genomic scaffold, chr04